rnacentral:lncRNA from 1 species
AUGUUGCAUCUCAUUUUUCGGAGAAGGAAGCUGAGGCCGAGAAAGAGAAUAUUCAGUAAUAGGACACAACUGAAACAGGCCAAAACCGCAAGUCAUUUUCUCUUCAGGAAUUCGGCUCCAAUUAAAAAUAAGAAACUCAACCAGGAUUUUCACAUCCUCCGGGGUAAGGAGCAGAUGAGUCACCCAGAACCGCAGCGUCGAUGCCGGGCCUUACUUGGUGCACCCCCUGGGGACCGGCCCAGGCUGCAGGUGGGGAUCCCCACAGGCUUCCUAAGCGCGGGGGCCAGAGCCCCCCCUGGAGGUUCUGACUUAACUGUCCUCCGUUUCUCUGUCUUUGUGCUCUGGGAGCUCUCAGCCGUCACUGGUCUGCUUCAGGUAUCGGCAGCCUUCUCUCUGGCCCUCGUCUCCUUUCUUCUCCACUGGACACACUCCGCACAGGUGAGGCUUGUGUGAGUUCCCACCAGGCCCCUUCCUUCGCCUUCCUUCCUUUGGUGGCUCUUCCUCCUUCCUUCGUGUUGCCCUCGUUGAGCGCCCAGUGACUCCUGCACGUCUCACCUAGAAAGAACUCCAAGGGUUUUUCAAAACUCACCAGUCCUGAGUUUUAUUUCUUCAGGGCUCUGCUAGUGAACCCCACAAAGUCAAACCUACUAGAGCCCUGUUUCCCAGGCUUGCCUGGCGAUAGGUUCCUAGACCUACCUUCUCGCAGUGUGCAGAGGAUUAGCCUGGGUCGAGGCACUAAAAGGAUGAUCCCGCGCAUCUCCCAGAUGACUUAUCUGUGUUUUACAGGCUACUUUAAAUGAAAUGAGAAAGUCACUGUGGUAAGGCUGAUGUGAGAUAUUUUUAUGCAUAGAUUCCUUUCACAGCAACCAUUUCCUUUAAUUUGCAGCAGAUAACCUCCUGUUCUGUUUCACUGAAGGGGGAAAAAAAAAAGAGAGAGAGAGACUAUCAGAGACGAGCUUCCUUAAUUUUUUUUUUUCCUUACUACAAAUUCACCUAAAUACACAUGCUUCUCUAUUUCCUGUCUUCUGUUUCAGGAGAGGGGUAUCCCUUGUAUGGGAAAAACUUGUGCCCAAGUGGACAACUUUAUUUUCUAGAACCCAGAGAAUACCCUCCAGGGUUACCUGAUUCCAAUUCUGUGGACACUUUGUAAAUUAUAAAUAACUGACAGUGGUGCAAAAUAGUUCUUCUUUAUAGACAUACAAAAUUUGUCCUGGCCAGUAGAGAUUCAGUAGACUUCUCUCCAUCACUAUGGAAGAAGUUAGUUUUGCUUCCAUUUGCACAUUCAUUUCAACAUUCCUUUACUUCAUACAGAUUUGUGAUUUUUUAUUUUUCUUUGAGAUGGUUACAACGUCUACCUUUAUCGAUUAAUAUAUUCAAUAAAACCUUUAAUCCGUGUUCA